AACGAACGCUGGCGGCAGGCCUAACACAUGCAAGUCGAACGCCCUAGCAAUAGGGAGUGGCAGACGGGUGAGUAACACGUGGGAACCUUCCCUAUAGUAUGGAAUAGCCCAGGGAAACUUGGAGUAAUACCGUAUACGCCCGAGAGGGGAAAGAUUUAUCGCUAUAGGAUGGGCCCGCGUAGGAUUAGCUAGUUGGUGAGGUAAUGGCUCACCAAGGCGACGAUCCUUAGCUGGUCUGAGAGGACGACCAGCCACACUGGGACUGAGACACGGCCCAGACUCCUACGGGAGGCAGCAGUGGGGAAUAUUGGACAAUGGGCGCAAGCCUGAUCCAGCCAUGCCGCGUGAGUGAUGAAGGCCUUAGGGUUGUAAAGCUCUUUUGCCGGGGACGAUAAUGACGGUACCCGGAGAAGAAGCCCGGCUAACUCCGUGCCAGCAGCCGCGGUAACUAGUCUACG
rnacentral:rRNA from 1 species